UUCCUGCUCCGAGAAGCCCCUAACUGAUGAGGCAGAGAGCUGCAGGGGAAAUACAGAGGCGGAGCGACUUCGGGAAGGUCACCCCGGCGAUCGGCGCACGGCUGGGAAGGGAGGCCGGAGCUGCGGCCUGCCAGCAGCACGGCUCUGCCUCCGGGACCCCACCGCGUCACGGACUGGUCUCGAGCAACACGCGGCACCACGGAGGCCGCCUGGAUGCCGUGGUGCCCGGGCGAGCGCAGCGUUCAGGCAGGAGAGCCGGGGCUGUAGUGGCGCAGCUUCGUGCUGGGUGUUGUCAGAGACUUGCGCGCCCCGCGGAAGAGCAGGAAUGAAAUGCAAGCGACGCUGCGAUUUGCAUGCUCCUCCGCUCGUGGUGCAGGUAUCCAGGGUGAAGGCUGCUCCAGCACUGACUCACCACGCUUGGCUUGGACACGAGAGCACGGGCUGUCGGCUCAGCCCCGUCGUGGGAACCGGGAGAUGCCCGCGCGGAGCUGGAACGCGGUUACCCGAGGUAGCUAGGAGCCCAGAGCCCCACCUCGUCCUAUUUAACCCUGCCAGCCCCCACGCCGUGAGAGGCGUGAGGGGGGACAUUUGCGGCUCUCAGAGCAUGCACGUAGUAAAUCCAAGCUGCUUUACCCUCGCUGGGAUUUGCUCCGGCGCCUGCAAACUGGCUCGACAGCAUUUGCAGCAGAAACGGCAUCGCCAAGCCCCGAGCCCCGGAGGGCGGCCGGAGCAGCGCCGUGGGGCCGAGGUUGCGUCACCGCGGCCACGUUUAUUCGGGCACACGGACGAUGCACGGCUCUUGCGCGCCGCGGCCCCGGGGACGCCUCUCCCUGCCAGCGUGGAGGGGUGAACGUGUAACGAUGCGCAGCGUCGCGCGUGAUGUCACCGGGGCGCACGUCGCGCAAACCUGCCGGUCUGGCCGGGCUCGUCGUGUCCCCGCGGCCCCGCGUGUUUGUUUGCACAGCCCGGGAGCCACCCUCUUGCCGUAAGCGCCUCUCGCACCAGCCCUGCCCGCGGCCAGCACGCGGGGCCGGUUUCCCAGAGGGCGGCUCGCACCUCCCCAGCGGCGGGGAGAAAGCCCACCUCGUCCUGCUCCUGGCGCCCAGAGGCCUCGGGGAUGGGCGGCAAGCCGGAGCAGCCCCGCUCCUGGGCCUCCCGUGGAGCAGUCCGAGGGGGCCCUCUACCUGUCUCCGGCAGUACGGCUUUCGGGGAGCGCUGGCCCUGCAGGAGCUGUAGCCUCAGCCUCCGCGGAGACAAAGAGCUGCUCUCCCUCGCUCGGAAAAGCUGGACUGUACUUAUUUGUCUUCACCUCGCGAGAGCUCACCCUCGCCGCUGUAACAGCCCAGAAGCCAGGGAGAUGCCCACGAGAGACGCGCAGGCUUCCUGCAGCGUUUCACCGCGGUGGAAGCAGACCCCGGCCACCCAGGAGCGCGGUGGGACCACCUGGCCCUGCAGCCUUUCCAUCUCUCUCCAGCGAAAGCAAAAACCGAACAGUCUCUCGGUGGCCAAAACUCGAUCGAUCCCCUGCUCCCGCAGCUGGGUCGCAGGAUCGCUGCAAUCCAAAGGGUCCUCAGGAGCCACCUUGACCGGCCUCCUGCUCGCAGCCGGGCACUGCUGGGCGCCGAGCUGCUUGCUCAGGGCUGUGGCCAGUUGGGGCUCGAAAACCCGAGGUUUACGGCAAGCUGUCCCAGCGCUGGCCUCGCAGUGAAAAUUGGUUUCCUUAUAACUGACCGGAAACUUGAUUUGUGGCCUCUCAUCCUUCCACCGCGCACCUUGGCGAGGAGCUUCGGUGAAGGGCACCGUGGUGGCCCAGCCCUGGGCUGGUACCCAACGCCCUUCUCGUAGCGGGGACCCGAAACCAGAGGUGGCAUUUUAGGUUCAGUCUAACAAAUGUCGAUGACAGGGAUAAUCACCGCCCCCCCCAACAAAAUAAAAAAGAAAUCCUCCUCAACCUGUCAAGCUAACUUUCCUGGAGGAAUAAAAUUACAUCUUUACGGUGGAAACGUGGCCAUCAUCUCUUCCUGAUAUCAAAAGACGUCUCAAGCAUUUGCCUGUUCCCCCCCCCGGCUGGGUUUCAGUUUUCGCUGCCGAAUGCGACAGAGGCUGCGUCUUCGCAGCCAAGAAAAGGUGCGAUUUGGAGCCGGCCCCGGGAAGUUUGGAGCGGCAGAAGCGGGAAGGCGGAGAAGCCGCCCUUGAAACCGGUCCUGCUGUCGCCUUCGGUGUCAACAUUGGCAAAACCUGCAAUUCCAGAAUUUUCCUGCGCAAUUAAAAAAGAAAAAAAAAAAAGCAAAAGGCAGCAUUUAAAGGACCUGCCUGUCUCAUUUGGCUGCUCCUUUUCUCAAGAAAGUGAAGGGGCUCCUGCGGCACGCCACGCGCCUGGCUUGAGGCACGGAGCAAGGAGGCGACACGGAGCGAGGGGUUCGGGGCAGCGCCCUCAGGUCUCCUCUCUCGGUGCACGUUCAUGCCCUGAGGAGGACUUUGAGGACCUGAUGCUAGAAAGCAGAGUGGACCCCUACGGCCAAGCCCCACGUGCAAGAAGUCCUACCCUUCUUCUACACCAGCUAGAGGAGCCCAGCCACCAGCAAGAGCCAUAGGAGACCUGUUAGACCCUGCAAAGCAAGGUCCACCCAAGGUGGCAUCUUGGUGCCAGACGCUGCAGGGGAGCGGAGAAGCCCUGCUGCCGUGCUUUGUGAGCGGAUGUGACCCCACGACGAUGGUGUGGGACGGGGCAGAGCCGUGCAAGGUGUUCGGUCCUUUCUCCGUCCUGGGAUUCGUGCACAAAGCAAGAGAGGAGAGGGUGAUCUCAGGAAUCCAUCCAGCAGCAUCAGAUGUCAGAGGUAUCUUUAUUGACGGUUUACAGAAAUACAGUAGCACUCGGUUUACAGGGUUUCUGCAAGUUCUCCAGAAGGUGCCUACGUUCUCAGCAGUGCCGGGAGAUCCCAAGGAGGAUCCUCCCUUUUUUUCAUCUGUUUUAACUCUUUGGGGCUUAUGUGGAGGCUUUGAGGUUCUCUAGGAUGAGCUUUUCUAACAUUCAGUUCUCUGGGGAGGGUAAGCCGUUACAACCAUUGAAUGAAAUUCAGCAGAGAACUGUAUCAGAGAAGGAAAAUUAAAAAAAAUAAAGGUACGUUAGGGGGCUGGGGCGUGGGAGAGCAGUCUGCACACGUCUGAUAUGUUCUGCACCAGCCCUGCCUCCAGCGCCAGGUUCCCCUCUCGGCGGCAGGCACGUCGCCGUCCCCCCUCCGCCUCCGAGUCGGUGCCCGCGGUCCUGGGGGGCACCUCGAGCCCCGGGGCCGGGGGGGCCCUGCUGCUCCCCGGCUGCAGCGCGGCUCGGGGCCGCUGGCCACCACGGGCUCGUGCCUGGGCCACGCUCCGGCGGCUGCUCCUCCUCCUGUCCUGCAGUUCACCUGUCUAGGAUUACUCGAGUCGUGUUCAGCUCUAGGUUUUGCACGCUGCUGUCACACCGUUUUGUUGUUUAUUAUGAAAUAGAUAUUUGUGGUUGUUUUGUUUUUCUCCCUGUACAAACGUACGAGUGAAACCCUUUCCUACAGCAGUUCACACACAGUUUGGGGGCAGGAAGGGUAUACUCAGUUAGGCUGAUAAAUUCGUUUAAUUUUUA